UUAUUCUUUGCUCCAAAGUGACUGAACAGUCACUCCUUCGUUUUAUGUAAUAUUUUUGUAAAUCUCUUUCCGUUUUCAUCUAUCAUGGUUCAUUAUAUUAUAUAUCCCACCAUCCAAAUACAACAUGAGUAGAGUUACAUUGAGCAGGCUAAUAUAGAGAGUAGAGUCUCUGAAACAACAGAAAUACAACAUGAGCAUUCCAAGUGUGCUAGUUUUACCAGGUCCAGCUCAAGGACAUGUCUAUCCCAUGAUGAACUUCUCGCAAAAGUUGGUUGAGAAUGGAUGCAAAGUCUAUUUUGUGAACACAGACUUCAACCAUAAGCGAGUUGUGAGUUCCAUGGUUGAGCAACAAGAAAGCCUUGAUGAAUCACUGGUAAAGUUGGUUUCAAUCCCAGAUGGUUUAAGACCUGAGGAUGACAGAACAGAUUUUGUCAAGUUAUUUGAUGCUAUACUAAGCACCAUGCCUUCUAUGCUUCAGAGGAAAAUAGAAGAAAUUCAUUUGUAUGGUGAGGAUAGAAUCAGCUGUAUAGUUGCAGAUGUGAAUAUGGGAUGGGCUUUGAAUGUUGGGAACAAGUUGGGAAUCAAAGGAGCUCUCUUCUGGCCUGCAUCAGCUGCUAUGUUUGCCUUUCAAUGCAACAUCCCUGCACUUAUUGAUAAAGGGAUCAUAGAUUCUGAUGGAUUACCAAUCACUAAAAAGACAUUUCGGAUAUCACCAACUAUGCCUGUGAUGGACACAGAGACUCUUUUUUGGUCGAAUGUGGCUGACUCAAUAAAUCUUAAGAAAAUAGUUAAUUCUUUGAAGUACUGCGCAGGAACUACACAUUUGACAGAGUGGUGGCUUUGCAACACCACGUAUGAACUUGAACCUGGUGCAUUGUCCUUUGUUCCGAAGCUCCUACCAGUUGGUCCAUUGUUGAGAAGUUAUGACAAUAAAAAUGUAAAUGCAAGAUCAAUUGGUCAGUUCUGGGAAGAAGAUUUGUCCUGCAUGAGUUGGCUUGAUCAACAACCUCAUCAUACUGUGUUGUAUGUUGCCUUCGGUAGUUUUACUCUUUUGGAUCAAAACCAAUUCAAUGAACUAGCACUUGGACUAGACCUUACCAAUAGACCUUUUCUUUGGGUUGUGCGUCAAGAUUCCAAUUGUACCAAUAAGAUAGCAUACCCCAAUGAAUUCAUAGGCAGUCAAGGCAAGAUAGUUUCAUGGGCUCCACAACAAAAGGUGUUAAGGCACCCUGCCAUAGCUUGUUUUGUUAGCCAUUGUGGUUGGAAUUCAACCAUGGAAGGUUUUUCUAAUGGGGUGCCCUUCUUGUGCUGGCCUUAUUUUUCUGACCAAUUUUUUAACAAAAAAUACAUUUGUGAUGAGUUGAAAGUUGGACUUGGAUUUGACUCAGAUGAAAAUGGAUUGGUGUCACGCUUGGAGAUAAAAACAAAAGUGGACCAACUUCUUAGUGAUGAGAACAUAAGAUCAAGUUCCCUGAUGCUAAAGGAGAAGGUAACAUGCAACAUAGCAGAAGGAAGUCGCUCUUCAGAGAAUUUUAACAGGCUAAUAUAGAGAGUAGAGUCUCUGAAACAACAGAAAUACAACAUGAGCAUUCCAAGUGUGCUAGUUUUACCAGGUCCAGCUCAAGGACAUGUCUAUCCCAUGAUGAACUUCUCGCAAAAGUUGGUUGAGAAUGGAUGCAAAGUCUAUUUUGUGAACACAGACUUCAACCAUAAGCGAGUUGUGAGUUCCAUGGUUGAGCAACAAGAAAGCCUUGAUGAAUCACUGGUAAAGUUGGUUUCAAUCCCAGAUGGUUUAAGACCUGAGGAUGACAGAACAGAUUUUGUCAAGUUAUUUGAUGCUAUACUAAGCACCAUGCCUUCUAUGCUUCAGAGGAAAAUAGAAGAAAUUCAUUUGUAUGGUGAGGAUAGAAUCAGCUGUAUAGUUGCAGAUGUGAAUAUGGGAUGGGCUUUGAAUGUUGGGAACAAGUUGGGAAUCAAAGGAGCUCUCUUCUGGCCUGCAUCAGCUGCUAUGUUUGCCUUUCAAUGCAACAUCCCUGCACUUAUUGAUAAAGGGAUCAUAGAUUCUGAUGAUGGGGAGACAUCCAAGUAGGAGCAUCAUGGUAGACUUCGAGACCUUUAUUCCUAGAUAAGGCAGUUUGGGCUAACUUAUGGGCGCAGCAAUUGGACUUUCGAUAACUAAUAUGCUAAUAGAACUAAUUUUAAUCACCAUUACCUAACAUCACUUCAUGCAUUUGCUUAUAGCUUGAUAUAUGUGUAUACUGUUAGAUUUUUUAUAAUUAUUGUAGCCCCCAAUGAAUUGUAUUUAUUUUUUUGUUUUUAUAAAAAUGGGUUAAGUCGUGAUUCUUAUGAGGGUGCAGUAUAGAACCUGCUUAAUUCAGUGAUCCUUUUGUUUGGAUUUGAAUAUUUGUAAACUGAUUAGUGUGGGUAAUAGUGUAGGCCUAACUCAUAGGCUCAUGAUGAGAAAGGGACUAGGGUUAAUAAAUUUGGUUAGAUCCCCUUUGCAUCCUUAUAUGUUGAAAAAGAAAAACAACCGCUCUACAACUUGCCUUAUCAACAGUUGUGAUAAGGGAGUGGUGUAAACUGUAGAGAAAGAUCCUGGCCCUUCAACCUUUGCAGGAAUACCGGAGUAAGCACUACAACUGAGAUAUCAAGGAUUAUGUCGUUAACAAGUAAGUCUAAACGCUUUUGAUGUUUUAAUUUCAUAUAAUCUUAUUUUGUGAUUUCUUACAUUUGGUAUCAAAGUCUAGAUUACAUGAUUUAUGACACAGUAUUGGUUGAUUAAACAUGAGUAUAUCUUUGGGAUUGAACCAGUUUCCCUCGUGUUCUUGAAUGUAUAAUUUAAAUAAGGAAAAAUUAAACCCAAAAUUACAGGAUAUUAUUUUGAAUUUAUUUUAUCAUGAAUUUUGACGAGAGAAAUUCAAAAUUAAAGUCACCG